rnacentral:rRNA from 1 species
UACGUAGGGUGCAGGCGUAAUCGGAAUUACUGGGCGUAAAGGGCGCGUAGGCGGCCUUCUAAGUCGAACGUGAAAUCCCCGGGCUCAACCCGGGAACUGCGUCCGAUACUGGAAGGCUUGAAUCCGGGAGAGGGAUGUGGAAUUCCAGGUGUAGCGGUGAAAUGCGUAGAUAUCUGGAGGAACACCGGUGGCGAAGGCGACAUCCUGGACCGGUAUUGACGCUGAGGCGCGAAAGCCAGGGGGAGCAAACGGG